UACGGGGGGGGCAAGCGUUGUUCGGAAUUAUUGGGCGUAAAGAGCUCGUAGGCGGUUUGUCGCGUCGACUGUGAAAACCUACAGCUUAACUGUGGGCUUGCAGUCGAUACGGGCAGACUUGAGUUCGGUAGGGGAGACGUGGAAUUCCUCGGUGUAGCGGUGAAAUGCGCAGAUAUCAGGAGGAACACCGGUGGCGAAGGCGGGUCUCUGGGCCGAUACUGACGCUGAGGAGCGAAAGCGUGGGGAGCGAACAGG
rnacentral:rRNA from 1 species